rnacentral:rRNA from 1 species
AGGGUUUGAUCAUGGCUCAGAACGUACGCUGGCGGCACGCCUAAUACAUGCAAGUCGAACGAAGUAGCAAUACUUAGUGGCGAACGGGUGAGUAUAAUGUGGGUAUCUGCCUUUUGGUGAGGAAUAACACGGGGAAACUUGUGCUAAUACCUCAUAAGCCUUCACAGGGAAAGUUUUAACGCCAAAAGAUGAGCCCGCACUUGAUUAGCUAGUUGGUAAGGUAAUGGCUUACCAAGGCUACGAUCAAUAGCUGAUCUGAGAGGAUGAUCAGCCACAUUGGGACUGAGACACGGCCCAAACUCCUACGGGAGGCAGCAGUAGGGAAUCUUGCACAAUGGGGGAAACCCUGAUGCAGCGAUGCCGCGUGAGUGAAGAAGGCCUUUGGGUUGUAAAGCUCUUUCGUCGGGGAAGAAAAUGACUGUACCCGAAUAAGAAGGUCCGGCUAACUUCGUGCCAGCAGCCGCGGUAAUACGAAGGGACCUAGCGUAGUUCGGAAUUACUGGGCUUAAAGAGCUCGUAGGUGGUUAGAAAAGUUGGUGGUGAAAUCCCAAGGCUUAACCUUGGAACUGCCAUCAAAACUUUUUGACUAGAGUAUGAUAGAGGAAAGUGGAAUUUCUAGUGUAGAGGUGAAAUUCGUAGAUAUUAGAAAGAACACCGAUUGCGAAGGCAGCUUUCUGGAUCAUUACUGACACUGA